UUUUUGGAGAGUUUGAUCCUGGCUCAGAGUGAACGCUGGCGGCGUGGAUUAGGCAUGCAAGUCGAGCGAUUCCCGCAAGGGAAUAGCGGCAAACGGGUGAGGAACACGUAAGUAAUCUUCCCCUUAACCGGACAUAGCCCUAUGAGAAUAGGAGUAAUAUCCGAUGAGAUCAUGAGAUUGCAUAAUUUUAUGUUCAAAGACGGGGACCGCAAGGCCUGUCGUUAAGGGAUGAGCUUGCGUAGCAUCAGCUAGUUGGUAGGGUAAUGGCCUACCAAGGCUAAGACGCUUAGCUGGUCUGAGAGGAUGGUCAGCCACACUGGGACUGAGACACUGCCCAGACUCCUACGGGAGGCUGCAGUCGAGAAUCUUUAGCAAUGGGCGAAAGCCUGACUAUGCGACGCCGCGUGAGGGAUGAAGGUUUUCGGAUCGUAAACCUCUUUUGGCAGGAAAGAAACCUUUAGGGUCAAUAACCCUGAAGCUGACGGUACCUGCAGAAUAAGCCACGGCUAACUCCGUGCCAGCAGCCGCGGUAAUACGGAGGUGGCUAGCGUUACUCGGAAUUAUUGGGUGUAAAGGGCAAGUAGGCGGCCAGGUAAGUGGGGGGUGAAAUACUCCGGCUCAAUCGGAGAACUGCCUUCCAAACUGCCCGGCUUGAGUGUGACAGAGGAAAAUGGAAUUCUCGGUGUAAGGGUGAAAUCUGUAGAUAUCGAGAAGAACACCAGAUGCGAAGGCGAUUUUCUGGGUCAUCACUGACGCUAAAUUGCGAAAGCUAGGGGAGCAAACAGAAUUAGAUACUCUGGUAGUCCUAGCCGUAAACGAUGAGCACUAGGUGUCGGGUCCUUCGGGAUUCGGUGCCGCAGCUAACGCAUUAAGUGCUCCACCUGGGGACUACGGUCGCAAGGCUAAAACUCAAAGGAAUUGACGGGGGCCCGCACAAGCGGUGGAACAUGUGGUUUAAUUCGAAGCUACGCGAAAAACCUCACCAGGGCUUGACAUGCAGGAAGUAGUGAAAUGAAAGUGGAACGACCUGUCAAGUCAGGAGCCUGCACAGGUGCUGCAUGGCUGUCGUCAGCUCGUGUCGUGAGAUGUUGGGUUAAGUCCCGCAACGAGCGCAACCAUUAUCCUUUGUUGCAACUCUGAUCCGGCUUGCCGGAUCAGAGGCACUCUAAGGAGACUGCCUGGGAUAACCAGGAGGAAGGUGGAGAUGACGUCAAGUCAGUACGGCCUUUAUGCCCUGGGCGACACACGUGUUACAAUGGGUAAGACAAAGGGUUGCCAACCCGCGAGGGGGAGCUAAUCUCAAAAACUUACCCCCAGUUCAGAUUGGAGUCUGCAAUCCGACUCCAUGAAGCCGGAAUCGCUAGUAAUGGCAGAUCAGCACGCUGCCGUGAAUACGUUCCCGGGCCUUGUACACACCGCCCGUCAAGCGAUGAGAGUCGGGAGUACCCGAAGUCCUAUGUAGAUAGGCCGAAGGUAAAACCGAUGAUUGGCGCUAAGUCGUAACAAGGUAGCCGUACGGGAACGUGCGGCUGGAUCACCUCCUUU
rnacentral:rRNA from 1 species